rnacentral:rRNA from 1 species
AUUGAACGCUGGCGGAAUGCUUUACACAUGCAAGUCGAACGGCAGCACGGGGGCAACCCUGGUGGCGAGUGGCGAACGGGUGAGUAAUACAUCGGAACGUGCCCGGUCGUGGGGGAUAACGUAGCGAAAGUUACGCUAAUACCGCAUACGAUCUGAGGAUGAAAGCGGGGGACCUUCGGGCCUCGCGCGAUCGGAGCGGCCGAUGUCAGAUUAGGUAGUUGGUGGGGUAAAGGCCUACCAAGCCGACGAUCUGUAGCUGGUCUGAGAGGACGACCAGCCACACUGGGACUGAGACACGGCCCAGACUCCUACGGGAGGCAGCAGUGGGGAAUUUUGGACAACGGGCGCAAGCCUGAUCCAGCCAUUCCGCGUGCAGGACGAAGGCCUUCGGGUUGUAAACUGCUUUUGUAUGGAACGAAAAGGCUCUGGCUAAUACCUGGGGCUCAUGACGGUACCGUAAGAAUAAGCACCGGCUAACUACGUG